ACGGCUCGGUGCUCUCUGCAGAAUUACACACACACACACACACACACACACACACACACACACACACACACACACACGUGCCGCUCCGAUGAGAUCAUUUCUCUCCGGCUUUACGUUGCAGGUCAUUAGCAUCUCACGCUAACAUUCGUCCUAACUACGCGGAGGAGGAUUCUUUAUUCCGCACACUUCAUAUGUAUAAACGGCUGAAUACACAACGGCGCACAUGUAGAGGUGAGCGACGUCAGCGAAGGGCUCAUAUUAAAACGCGCCGGAAAUCUCCAGAAGCGACCGGCUCCCGGCGAUCUCUAACGUCAUUUCUCCUCUGCUGUCGAUUUGUCAUGUCUGCAUGUCGUACGCCAUCGGUUUAUUUAUUAAAUUGGUGUCUGAAGGUGAAAUAAAAUGGAUAUUAAUUCAAUGCGUCUGGACUCGCUUCAUGGAAAUAAAUAAAAAAAAACGUGAAAAUAUUUGUAACGCUGAGGUAAAACGAGUCUUGAAAUAGUGUCGGUCGUGUGUAAAUAGCCGUGAGAGAAAAGGAGACUAGUCACGUUAGAAGACUCUCAGGAAAUAUUCGUGUUACACUAGCGUUUUGUUUUGUAAAGGUUAUUAGUGAAGUUUAACAUAACAAUGUGUCCUUGUAAUUACAUUUCCAUUGUAAGUGUAAAUGAAGACGUUCAUAUCGUGCUAUAAUGCAUCCAUAAGGCAUUAUACAGUACACACGGUUAUUAUGCAUUAUGACUGGUCAACAUGAUGAAUUUAUAACACUCAUACUAAAUAAGUCCAGGCCAAAAGUUAUGAUAAAUAUAUAUUUAAAAAAAAAAAAAAGCGAUAAUAAGACGAUGGUCGUUAUACGUGCACAUGGCCUUCAUGGGAAAAGUUUCACUUCACGAUCUUCAAAGAGCUUGUUACGAAUCUCAGCGAUCAAGACUCAACAAGAACAAAAUAAAUAAAUAAUGAUAAUAAUCUGAAUAAAUAUAUAUGUAUAUAUUUUCCCUUUGGCUACAAAUUUAGUCAUAAAUAUGGAUUGUCUAUCGAUCCACUGUCCAGGAUAAAGUUCUUACUUAGAAAUAGCUGAAAUACAUGUUCCUGGAUGUUAAUGUAACUAUAACUGGAUAAUAAAUAAAUAAAUAAAUAAAUAAAUA
ensembl:lncRNA